AGCUCCAAUAGCGUAUAUUAAAGUUGUUGCGGUUAAAAGCUCGUAGUUGGAUUUCUGUUGAGGGCAGCCGGUCCGCACUCGGUGCGUGUAUCUGGUUUGACCUCGGCAUCCUCUCAAAAUACGUUUCUGCGCUUGAUUGCGUGGAGCGGAGUUUGAGACUUUUACUUUGAGGAAAUUAGAGUGUUCACGGCAGGCAAUCGCCUUGAAUAUAUUAGCAUGGAAUAAUAAUAUAGGAUCUUGGUUCUAUUUUGUUGGUUUCUAGAGCUAAGAUAAUGAUUAAUAGGGACAAUUGGGGGCAUUCGUAUUAACGCGUCAGAGGUGGAAUUCUUGGAUUGCGUUACGACGAACUACUGCGAAAGCAUUUGCCAAGGAUGUUUUCA
rnacentral:rRNA from 1 species